rnacentral:piRNA from 1 species
UCUUAUUUCCAGGUGAGCUUGAGCAUC